UAUUCAGAAAAUGGCUGAAAACCUUUAGUGUUGGUAGCUCUUGUAUCCAGGUACGGCUUUUGGGCUAUGAAACUAGAAGAAAGUUUUGGCUUUUGGCCCUCGCAUAUGUUGUCUGCGUCUGGUUUCUGCCAAGAAAUCACAUCAAUAGCGACCAUUGCUGAGUGUAUUCGGAGCUUGGUACUCUCUCUAAUUUUGUAUAUGAUUGUAUUCAGGUACCAUCACUUCCAUUCCUUUGUGAUGAAGUCAUUAACAGUGCUUCCAGGUUUUGGUUUUGGCCUAGGAAUGAAGAGCAGGAACCGAAUCUAGCAAAAAUAAGGGAGUUUGCCACCCGACCGGUUGGACUGGGAGCGUCUCUCUAAAGAUAAUGGAAAGCUGAUGAGCUCAUGCAUUUAUCAUUGGAAGGUGUAAAAGUGGUUUUUCUACCUCAUCCGGCCUGCAGCGUCUCUCUUGCAAAAGUCCCACCACACAAGUUGAUGGGAGUUUCUUAUUCAUUAGUUUUCCUCAAGAAAGAAAAAUUAGACACUGGGAUUCUAAAUAAUGUAAAAUAAACUUUGGUGCCUUACUAAACAUAUUCAAGCAACCUUUGACAGCCAAGAUUUAAUUAAUAUUAUUUAAAAUUCUAAAAA